rnacentral:sRNA from 1 species
GUUAUUUUAACAGAAAACCACACACUUGCCGAGACAACAAGCGGGGUGCCACACAGAUAUAAGUGGUUCGUUUGUUGGGCAGGUGGAGGCUUAAC